UCCUGCAUGCACAAUGACAGAGGAGCUCUGAGUGUGGCAUGGCAUGUUCCCUGCUGGUACCCUCACACGAAGACUCCUUUGGAAUGAUUUUUGGAUUUUCCUACACACCUUGCUCUUCUGUGACCUCACAUGACACUAUCUGGUGUUGCAGAAGGAUUGACAGAAAAGAGUUAAGCAGUUGCUCUACUCUAAAUCUGUGGGAAAAAGUCAGAGCCAACUUUAAGCUGAUGUGACGAUCCAUGCCUCUAUUUCUUAGGCUCUCCAAGAAGCUUCAUCCCAACCAGCAAACAUACACAAUACCAACUGUCAUUCUGCAACUACAAAAACAGCACAGCCUGGAAAGUUCUCCGGUGUUUCCAGCAUGGAUUAGUCACCCUUCUGUCUUCUCUACAACACCAUCCUCCUGCAAAUGCCUCAGUGCAAUCGUUAGCAGCAUGCUGACAAGUGGAGAAAAUGUCUUUUGUCUUGCAGAUAUGGAGGGAACCAAGACCUGAAAAAAGUCCCAAGUCAGUGACAAGUGCUCCUUGUGGUGGGAUGGUGGAGAGCACAUCAGAUGGCACUGUCUGAUCCAGAGCAAAAGGCAAUUCUGUUUUAAUGAAGGUAACACAUAUUUUCUUCCCUGCUUGCUGCUGUGUCUCUGUACAGAGUACUUUGUAUAUUUCUCAGCUAUUUUAUAUGUUUUUUCACAGGAUGAACACUACCUGUCAACAGUACUUUUACAUUUUUGCCAGUUUCCUAUGAAAAUAUAUCCACUUGCACUGUUUGAUUGUGUCUGUUUAUAUGUUUCCAUGUCUCUUACCUGCACAUCCUCCCCCUCAACAAUGAGUUAAAAACAAUAGAUUCUGUCAACUGAAUUUGAUAGAUGCAGGCUUAAAGAUACAGAUUCCAGAGAGAUUUUGCAGCAAAAGAUCCCCAGACAGAGUAGAGAAACCUUGCUAAUAAUUCCCUUGAUGUAAAGAAGAAUAACAUUAACUUUUAUAGGCAUCGGAUCCGCACAGGAAAGAGCUGCUGUAAAAAAGCCAUUCUUAGUUUCACUGCUACUUGAAGUAUGGCAUUUCCAAAUUACAACAGGACCUCAUUGUUAAUCCCAAUCCUGGAUGUCAUCAGCCCACUCUCACUGGGAUAAUUUUUCAACACAUUCCACCACCUCCACAUGCAUAAUUUUCCUCUUAAGGACCUUUUAAGUGCAGCAGUUUAAGAUCCAGCCCAGUCCUUCUUCCUUUGAUGAGGCUCUGUGGGCAAACUCCUUGCACUUAAAUGUUACAGUAGAGCCCCUGAGAAGCUUGAACUUCUGGAAAUAACUUUGGCAGCCAAUUGGCACUUAAUGACAAUUUGACUUAAUACAUGGAAACAUAUCCAGAAAAACAAGCAUGAUCUUAUGGACAUUUGUUUUUGCUGCUAUUGGCAGUUAAAUCAAAACCCUUUGUUGAGGUCUUUUAGCUUUCUCUGCUUCUAUCUGGAUGGUGCCUGGUCUUUUUUACUUUCUAAUUUAGAUUAUUUUUUUUUCAAUUGCAGUACUUUUUUGAAGAGUGUGUUAGUUUGAAGAGUUGUUAUUGUGUUGUUUCUUUAGAUAAAACACAGAGAAAACGACGUUUAAUUCUGAUAAAGAAUACAUAUUGCCAGGUAAAACCUUCACAGGAUUACUUAUAGGAAUAAUUCAUUUUAAUUCUCAAAAAACAGCAAGUGAUGGCUUGGGAGGCAAAUCUCAUAAGGAGAGGCUGAGAACACUUGGAUUGUCUAGUCUGGAGAAAAGAAGUCUGAGAGGAAACCUCAUUGCUCUCUACAACUUCCUGAGGGCUUCCUGAAGUCUGGUUCUCUUCUCCCUUGUCAGCAACGACAGGAUGCACAGGAACAGCACAGAGCCAUGCCAAGGAAAGUUCAGGCUGGACAUUAGGAAAAAAAUCUGGAUUUAUAGUAAAAUCUAUUGGUAUCUUGACCACACACACAAUUGGAUCAUAUGAUAUGGUAUUGUACCCAGUCUCUCAUUUCCUAGACAUCUCGUACAUAGUUUGUGGUGCAGUAUGAUACAGAAGAUCAUAAUAAUCCCUUCAAUGUAUGUCUGCAGAGAGGGACAACUUAUUUUAUCUAAAUUUAUAUAUUUGCAGUGUAGAAAUUAUUCCUGAAUUCAUCAUCCCCUUCUUACUUGAUAGCAAAGGCAAUUUCAGCUCAAUUUACCUGAACUACUGAACUUCAAUGUGAGAUAGAUUGCAUCCGAAAUCCCACUGACUUCAUUGGCUGGGUAAGCACUGAUGUCUGUUUGGUGAUGGAAAGACUAUUUCAGAUGGAGAUAUAAGAGGAAUUAGUUUCUUUUUUUUUUUUUCUUUUUCUUUUUUUCUUUUUUUCCUGCAAUAUGUGUUUAUCUGUCAUAACUUCUAAAUAGCUGUAGCAGUAUGUAGACAAUCCCUCCCUCCCUUCCUCUUUCUCUUGUACCCUCCUGUCCCUUUUUUCCUUUU